rnacentral:lncRNA from 1 species
CAUGGGAUGCGCUGACCGGAUGCCGGCCCUCAGGGGAGCUGGGCUGGGCCGGAGGGGAGGCCUCGGGGCACCCAUCAGGCUCUUCUGCCACCCACCCAGGCUUUCCUCUCUCCGGAGCUGCCCCGUCCAUCGUGGGGAUCCGGGUCCUGAAGUCUCCUCAGCAGACAGGAGCGGUCUCAGAGCCUCCACUUCGGACGCCCCUCGGCCUCCCUCACCCCGCAGGGCUUCACUGCCGCGCUCCUCUCUCCAGAUGCUCACCCUCUCCACGGCGGCUCUGUGACUGCCCAUCUGUCCUGGGCCUGGAACACCACAGCCGAGAUGCAGGGUCAUGGAGGAAGGUGUGCGGCCCCGGGUACUGAUGCAGGAAGGAGACCCGCUCGGGAGACGUGCGGGUCCAGCCUCCGCCCUUCCCUCCUGCCCGGCUACAGCUCCGGCCCGUGGAGCCGAAGCACAGAGGUACCGCAGGCUGGAGCCCGGGUCGGGGCUCCUGGACCAUCCGUCCGCCGAGAUGCCACCUUCCCCGGGCUCUGCCGGUGAUCCACCAAGUACUGCGGCCACAGCCCUCCACUGUCCUCUCACCCGAUGUCACUGGAGCAGGGCUGAGCCUGCUCCUCUGGGAACCCAGGGCCCCGACGCUGGGCAGCAGGUCCCACAGACUGUGGUAGAAGCAGCCGAAGCAAUGCGCACAGUGACUCGGUCCCCGAGCGGCUUCGCUCUAACUGCAAAGGCAGCUGCUGGAAGUGACGAACAAGCAAGUCUCUGCGGUGUCCCCGAGGCGGAACGCACA